rnacentral:rRNA from 1 species
UACAGAGGGUGCAAGCGUUGUUCGGAAUUAUUGGGCGUAAAGCGCGUGUAGGCGGCUUUGCAAGUCGGGUGUGAAAGCCCUCAGCUCAACUGAGGAAGUGCGCCCGAAACUGCAGAGCUUGAGUGCCGGAGAGGGUGGCGGAAUUCCCCAAGUAGAGGUGAAAUUCGUAGAUAUGGGGAGGAACACCGGUGGCGAAGGCGACCAUCUGGACGAUAACUGACGCUGAGACGCGAAAGCGUGGGGAGCAAACAGG